rnacentral:rRNA from 1 species
ACCAUCCUCCAAGGCUAAAUACUCCUGACUGACCGAUAGUGAACCAGUACCGUGAGGGAAAGGCGAAAAGAACCCCGGCGAGGGGAGUGAAAAAGAACCUGAAACCGUGUACGUACAAGCAGUGGGAGCACAGGUUUACCUGUGUGACUGCGUACCUUUUGUAUAAUGGGUCAGCGACUUAUAUUCUGUAGCAAGGUUAACCGUAUAGGGGAGCCGUAGGGAAACCGAGUCUUAACCGGGCGUUAAGUUGCAGGGUAUAGACCCGAAACCCGGUGAUCUAGCCAUGGGCAGGUUGAAGGUUGGGUAACACUAACUGGAGGACCGAACCGACUAAUGUUGAAAAAUUAGCGGAUGACCUGUGGCUGGGGGUGAAAGGCCAAUCAAACCGGGAGAUAGCUGGUUCUCCCCGAAAGCUAUUUAGGUAGCGCCUCGUGAAUUCAUCUCCGGGGGUAGAGCACUGUUUCGGCUAGGGGGCCAUCCCGGCUUACCAACCCGAUGCAAACUGCGAAUACCGGAGAAUGUUAUCACGGGAGACACACGGCGGGUGCUAACGUCCGUCGUGAAGAGGGAAACAACCCAGACCGCCAGCUAAGGUCCCAAAGUCAUGGUUAAGUGGGAAACGAUGUGGGAAGGCCCAGACAGCCAGGAUGUUGGCUUAGAAGCAGCCAUCAUUUAAAGAAAGCGUAAUAGCUCACUGGUCGAGUCGGCCUGCGCGGAAGAUGUAACGGGGCUAAACCAU